rnacentral:rRNA from 1 species
GACUACUAGGGUAUCUAAUCCUGUUCGCUCCCCAUGCUUUCGCUCCUCAGCGUCAGUAACGGCCCAGAGACCCGCCUUCGCCACCGGUGUUCCUCCUGAUAUCUGCGCAUUCCACCGCUACACCAGGAAUUCCAGUCUCCCCUACCGCACUCCAGUCUGCCCGUACCCACUCCACGCCCCCAGCAAAGCCAGAGGAUUACACAGGCGACGCCACCAACCUCCAACGACCUCUUUACGCCCACACACUCCUGACCACCCUCCCCCACCACCUAUUACCGCGCCCGCUGCCACCUACUUCCC